UUACGCGCGAUCGGAGCCACAGUCCGCCGGCAUGAGUAGCGACAUUAAAACAUUUUGCUUAAUAUUUUAUGUGCACUUAUUUGUAGUCCACCACAUGAUAAGAGUCUCAUUACGAGAGUCUUACAUAGUAGAACAACGAAAAAAUAGGCGCAAGGGGCCUCCGUUCUUCUGGGCGUGAGUCGAAGUGACAUGGCAUUUCGCUCCAUAUUAGAACUAGAAGCAGAGAUGCAGUAUGCCCGCAGAGCGAAAUAAAUGAU
rnacentral:lncRNA from 1 species